rnacentral:rRNA from 1 species
CCUACGGGAGGCUGCAGUGGGGAAUAUUGGGCAAUGGGCGCAAGCCUGACCCAGCAACGCCGCGUGAGGGAAGAAGGCUUUCGGGUUGUAAACUUCUUUUAAGAGGGAAGAGCAGAAGACGGUACCUCUUGAAUAAGCCACGGCUAACUACGUGCCAGCAGCCGCGGUAAUACGUAGGUGGCAAGCGUUGUCCGGAGUUACUGGGUGUAAAGGGCGUGCAGCCGGGAAGACAAGUCAGAUGUGAAAUCCCGGGGCUCAACCGCGGAAGUGCGUUUGAAACUGGUUAUCUUGAGUACCGGAGAGGUCAGCGGAAUGCGUGGUGUAGCGGUGAAAUGCGUAGAUAUAACGAAGAACACCGGUGGCGAAGGCAGAUGACUGAAGGGCAACUGACGCUGAAGCGCGAAAGCGUGGGGAGCGAACAGGAUUAGAUACCCGGGUAGUC